rnacentral:rRNA from 1 species
UCAGAGUACGUGAAACUGCUUAGAGGUUAAGCCCGAUGAACCUGAAUAUCCCGUAUGGAAAAUUCAUCAUUAGAUAUAUUUUGUUUAUACAAUUUAUAGAUGGUGUGCAAUUUUUCCAUAUAAAGGACAUUGUAAUCUGUUAGUGUUUAAAUGCGUAUCAUAAGAUCAAAUACUUAAGUUUAUCUUUUAUUUAAUAUAUUUAUAUGUUGAAUGGGAUAAUUGUAAUUGUAUCGGAUAUGCCAUUGACAGAUUUUAAUAUAUAUAAUGCUUAAAUCUUCGGAUUUUAUAAUUUUGUAUUAACCAUUGGUUUUUGCAAAUAUUAUAUGCGUUUAUAUGAUUAACAAUGCGAUAGAUUCAGGAUACCUUCGGGACCCGUCUUGAAACACGGACCAAGGAGUCUAACAUAUGUGCAAGUCAUUGGGUUUUUAAAACCUAAAGGCGUAAUUAACUUAACUAUUUAAUGGGAUCAGUAUAUAUUUUAUAUAAAUAUAUAUUCAAUCCCGGGGCGUUCUAUAUAGUUAUGUAUAAUAAUAUUUAUAUUAUUUAUACCUCUAACUGGAGCGUACCUUUAGCAUAUAUGCUGUGACCCGAA